GAUGAAGAACGUAGCGAAAUGCGAUAAGUAGUGUGAAUUGCAGAAUUCAGUGAAUCAUCGAAUCUUUGAACGCACAUUGCGCCCGCCAGUAUUCUGGCGGGCAUGCCUGUUCGUGCGUCAUUACAACCCUCAGGCCCCCGGGCCUGGCGUUGGGGAUCGGCGGAAGCCCCCUGCGGGCACAACGCCGUCCCCCAAAUACAGUGGCGGUCCCGCCGCAGCUUCCAUUGCGUAGUAGCUAACACCUCGCAACUGGAGAGCGGCGCGGCCACGCCGUAAAACACCCAACUUCUGAAUGUUGACCUCGAAUCAGGUAGGAAUACCCGCUGAACUUAAGCAUAUCAAUAAGCGGAGGA
rnacentral:misc_RNA from 1 species